rnacentral:rRNA from 1 species
CCUACGGGAGGCAGCAGUGAGGAAUAUUGGUCAAUGGACGAGAGUCUGAACCAGCCAAGUAGCGUGAAGGAUGACUGCCCUAUGGGUUGUAAACUUCUUUUAUAUGGGAAUAAAAUGUUCCACGUGUGGGAUUUUGUAUGUACCAUAUGAAUAAGGAUCGGCUAACUCCGUGCCAGCAGCCGCGGUAAUACGGAGGAUCCGAGCGUUAUCCGGAUUUCUUGGGUUUAAAGGGAGCGUAGGUGGAUUGUUAAGUCAGUUGUGAAAGUUUGCGGCUCAACCGUAAAAUUGCAGUUGAAACUGGCAGUCUUGAGUACAUUCGCGGUGGGCGUCAUUCGUGUUGUAGCCGUGAAUUGCUUCGCUAUCACGAAGAACUCCGCUUGCGAAGGCAGCUCACUGGACUGCACCUGACACUGAGGCUC